CAGCCAGGUCACCCUGGGCGACAAAGCGCCUGAGAUGACGCCUAAGGACGCGUGUCCCACACCAGAAUUGGCUCUGGGGAAAACCUUCCCACGCCCAGCUCGGUGGGCUUCUAGCAACCCCUUCCCAUGGAGGUCAAACCCCGCAGUGGGGUGGGUUGGGGACAGUCUGGGGGCUCAGGUGGCCCCUGGGGCUGUGCUGAGGCAGAGAUGCCCGUUCACGCUCCCCAAACACGCACCUGAGGGCAAGGAGCACCGGGUGGCACCGUGGAAGGCGGCGCUGCCACUUCGGGCACGUUGGCCCGUGAAGGACUCCAAGGAGAGGGACAUGGGCCACCAGGUCAUCUCUGGCGGCACCGCACAGCCCUCCGCGCCCUCUCGUGGCACCCGCUCAGCACCACAACUGGCCCGGACCCUGUCCCUGACCCUGUCCCUGUCCCUGUUCCCAUCCCACCCCCCUGAGAAAUGCUCCCCUGUUCCCUGGGCCGAACGCAUCCCCAUCAGGACGGCCGUGAAUUCCAGCACGGACAACAAUGUCCACUCGUGCUCCAAUUCCCACCAAAAGUCAGCACAGGCUGGGGAAGCCAAGCUUCCCUCACAGUGCAAUCGGAGCAGAUUUUCCCUCAUUUAUUCUCCCUGGCAUCAGCAGCUUCUCCAGGCGACCUGUGCCAGAGCCUCACCACCCUCAGAGGGAAGAAUUCCUUCCCAAUAUCCAAUCUAAAGCUACCUUUCCUCAGCUUAAACCCAUUUCCUCUCAUCCUGUCACUCCAUGCCCUUGUCCAAAGUCCCCUCUCCAGGUUUCUUGUAGUUCCAGUAGGUCCCAAGCCCCCCUCUCCUCUCCUCUGCUCCCCUCCCAGGGGGGAUUAUGGCACAGCCCCAUCCGUCCCAGCACUGCCAGCAAAGCUUUGAAGCGCAGCCCUGGUAACGGAGCCUCCGCUGCAGGAAUGGGGAAACGCCGGGACAGGGAGAUCUCCGCCUCCGUCGCUCGCUGGUCUGGGCAGAACGGGGAAAACAAGGCAGCUUUUUGUGAAAGGGCAUCUCCAGGCAGGGAGCAGGGUGGGUUUGCCCUGUGGUCCCAAGAUCUUUGCCCUUUCGCCUGUUGCUCCAGCCCAGCAGCCAAAGGGUUAUUCCCACCGGCGUGGGUGGAAGCUGUUCCCACAGAGCCAUCCCACAGCUCCCUUAAGGACCAACACCGAGGGACAGCGACGAUUCCCAGUCAGAGCUGGGCAAUUCCCAGUUCAGGAGAGGUGGAAGGCAUCUGGUGGAAGGACACGGCAGGACUGGGGAUGGGCUGGGGGAAGGCAUUCCAGAGAAGCAGGAACGCUCUGCUGAGAGCCAUCCACCCCUUAAAUGAACACCCAUAG
rnacentral:lncRNA from 13 species